rnacentral:tRNA from 1 species
GCCUUCAACAGUAGGAGAUCAAUUGCGUCCGGCACCCGUUCGGGGGAACGAGCCUCUAAUAGUUGGUCUCGUGGGUUCGAGACCCACCGGAUGCGC